AGGGCGCACGGUGGAUGCCUUGGCACUAGAAGCCGAUGAAGGACGUGACUAACAACGAAAUGCUUUGGGGAGCUGUAAGUGAGCAAUGAUCCAGAGAUGUCCGAAUGGGGGAACCCGGCAGGUAAUGCCUGUCACUCAUUACUGUUAAGGUAAUGUAGAGGAAGACGCAGUGAACUGAAACAUCUAAGUAGCUGCAGGAAGAGAAAGCAAAAGCGAUUGCCUUAGUAGCGGCGAGCGAAACGGCAAGAGGGCAAACCGAAGAGUUUACUCUUCGGGGUUGUAGGACUGCAACGUGGACUUAAAGAUUAUAGAAGAACUACCUGGGAAGGUAGGCCAAAGGGAGUAAUAGCCUCGUAUUCGAAAUAGUCUUUAUACCUAGCAGUAUCCUGAGUACGGCGAGACACGAGAAAUCUCGUCGGAAUCUGGGAGGACCAUCUCCCAACCCUAAAUACUCUCUAGUGACCGAUAGUGAACCAGUACCGUGAGGGAAAGGUGAAAAGCACCCCGGGAGGGGAGUGAAAUAGAACCUGAAACCGUGUGCCUACAACAAGUUCGAGCCCGUUAAUGGGUGAGAGCGUGCCUUUUGUAGAAUGAACCGGCGAGUUACGAUAUGAUGCGAGGUUAAGUUGAAGAAACGGAGCCGUAGGGAAACCGAGUCUUAAUAGGGCGCAUUAGUAUCAUGUCGUAGACCCGAAACCAUGUGACCUACCCAUGAGCAGGUUGAAGGUGAGGUAAAACUCACUGGAGGACCGAACCAGGGCACGUUGAAAAGUGCUUGGAUGACUUGUGGGUAGCGGAGAAAUUCCAAACGAACUUGGAGAUAGCUGGUUCUCUCCGAAAUAGCUUUAGGGCUAGCGUCGAUGUUAAGUCUCUUGGAGGUAGAGCACUGUUUGGGUGAGGGGUCCAUCCCGGAUUACCAAUCUCAGAUAAACUCCGAAUGCCAAUGAGAUAUAAUCGGCAGUCAGACUGCGAGUGCUAAGAUCCGUAGUCGAAAGGGAAACAGCCCAGACCACCAGCUAAGGUCCCAAAAUAUAUGUUAAGUGGAAAAGGAUGUGGGGUUGCACAGACAACUAGGAUGUUAGCUUAGAAGCAGCUAUUCAUUCAAAGAGUGCGUAAUAGCUCACUAGUCGAGUGACCCUGCGCCGAAAAUGUACCGGGGCUAAAACAUAUUACCGAAGCUGUGGAUACCUUUAUAGGUAUGGUAGGAGAGCGUUCUAUGUGCGAAGAAGGUGUACCGUGAGGAGUGCUGGAGCGCAUAGAAGUGAGAAUGCCGGUAUGAGUAGCGAAAGACAGGUGAGAAUCCUGUCCACCGUAAGACUAAGGUUUCCAGGGGAAGGCUCGUCCGCCCUGGGUUAGUCGGGACCUAAGGAGAGACCGAAAGGUGUAUCCGAUGGACAACAGGUUGAUAUUCCUGUACUAGAGUAUAUAGUGAUGGAGGGACGCAGUAGGCUAACUAAACCAGACGAUUGGAAGUGUCUGGCCAAGCAGUGAGGUGUGAUAUGAGUCAAAUGCUUAUAUCUCUAACAUUGAGCUGUGAUGGGGAGCGAAGUUUAGUAGCGAAGUUAGUGAUGUCACACUGCCGAGAAAAGCUUCUAGCGUUAAUUAUACUCUACCCGUACCGCAAACCGACACAGGUAGUCGAGGCGAGUAGCCUCAGGUGAGCGAGAGAACUCUCGUUAAGGAACUCGGCAAAAUGGCCCCGUAACUUCGGGAGAAGGGGCGCUGACUGAUGGUCAGCCGCAGUGAAUAGGCCCAAGCAACUGUUUAUCAAAAACACAGCUCUCUGCUAAAUCGUAAGAUGAUGUAUAGGGGGUGACGCCUGCCCGGUGCUGGAAGGUUAAGAGGAGUGCUUAGCGUAAGCGAAGGUAUGAAUUGAAGCCCCAGUAAACGGCGGCCGUAACUAUAACGGUCCUAAGGUAGCGAAAUUCCUUGUCGGGUAAGUUCCGACCCGCACGAAAGGCGUAAUGAUUUGGGCACUGUCUCAACGAGAGACUCGGUGAAAUUUUAGUACCUGUGAAGAUGCAGGUUACCCGCGACAGGACGGAAAGACCCCAUGGAGCUUUACUGCAGUUUGAUAUUGAGUAUCUGUACCACAUGUACAGGAUAGGUAGGAGCCUAUGACCUCGGGACGCCAGUUUCGAGUGAGGCGUUGUUGGGAUACUACCCUUGUGUUAUGGCUACUCUAACCCAGAUAGGUUAUCCCUAUCGGAGACAGUGUCUGACGGGCAGUUUGACUGGGGCGGUCGCCUCCUAAAAGGUAACGGAGGCGCCCAAAGGUUCCCUCAGAAUGGUUGGAAAUCAUUCGCAGAGUGUAAAGGUAUAAGGGAGCUUGACUGCGAGAGCUACAACUCGAGCAGGGACGAAAGUCGGGCUUAGUGAUCCGGUGGUUCCGUAUGGAAGGGCCAUCGCUCAACGGAUAAAAGCUACCCUGGGGAUAACAGGCUUAUCUCCCCCAAGAGUUCACAUCGACGGGGAGGUUUGGCACCUCGAUGUCGGCUCGUCGCAUCCUGGGGCUGUAGUCGGUCCCAAGGGUUGGGCUGUUCGCCCAUUAAAGCGGCACGCGAGCUGGGUUCAGAACGUCGUGAGACAGUUCGGUCCCUAUCCGUCGCGGGCGUAGGAAAUUUGAGAGGAUCUGCUCCUAGUACGAGAGGACCAGAGUGGACUUACCGCUGGUGUACCAGUUGUUCUGCCAAGAGCAUCGCUGGGUAGCUAUGUAGGGAAGGGAUAAACGCUGAAAGCAUCUAAGUGUGAAGCCCACCUCAAGAUGAGAUUUCCCAUGAUUUU
rnacentral:rRNA from 1 species